rnacentral:rRNA from 1 species
UACGUAGGGUGCGAGCGUUGUCCGGAAUUAUUGGGCGUAAAGAGCUUGUAGGCGGUUUGUCGCGUCUGCUGUGAAAUCUCAAGGCUCAACCUUGAGCUUGCAGUGGGUACGGGCAGACUAGAGUGUGGUAGGGGAGACUGGAAUUCCUGGUGUAGCGGUGGAAUGCGCAGAUAUCAGGAGGAACACCGGUGGCGAAGGCGGGUCUCUGGGCCAUUACUGACGCUGAGGAGCGAAAGCGUGGGGAGCGAACAGG